CUGCAUUCACUACACUAACACACACACUCUGCAUCCGCUACACACUAACACAAUCUCUGCAUUCACUACACUAACACACACUCUGCAUCCGCUACACACUAACACACUCUCUGCAUUCACUACACUAACACACACUCUGCAUCCACUACACACUAACACACUCUCUGCAUUCACUACACAUUAACACACUCUGCAUUCACUACACUAACACACACACUCUGCAUCCGCUACACACUAACACAAUCUCUGCAUUCACUACACUAACACACACUCUGCAUCCGCUACAC